GUGGGUAUAGCUCAGUGGUAGAGCACGUGUAUAACGUGCACGGGGUCCUGGGUUCUAUCCCCAGAACUUCCA
rnacentral:tRNA from 1 species